rnacentral:rRNA from 1 species
ACGGAGGGUGCAAGCGUUAUCCGGAAUCACUGGGUUUAAAGGGUGCGUAGGCGGGAAAUUAAGUCAGUGGUGAAAUCUUGUCGCUUAACGAUAAAAUUGCCAUUGAUACUGAUUUUCUUGAAUUGGGUUGAGGUUAGCGGAAUGUGACAUGUAGCGGUGAAAUGCAUAGAUAUGUCAUGGAACACCAAUUGCGAAGGCAGCUAGCUGGGCCUUGAUUGACGCUGAGGCACGAAAGCGUGGGUAGCGAACAGG